AGCAAAGGAAAAGAGCAGGUUUUGCGGAAAGCCUUCGAGAUGGCAAGCAGAUCAGUACAGCUGAGAAGAGUUCCAGGGAGGAGAGCGGGAAUGGCUGGGGAGGUACAUCUGACCUCGACUACAUGGGACACUAUUUCACUGAGAUCCACCUACAGGCAACAUGCAGGGAAGACUGAAAAGGGAACAGCUAAGGGACAGAGAGACUGAUCGGAGGCAAAACGAUGUGAUCGGCCGGGACACCUGGACUAAGGCAUAAGAAUGAUGUCACCACUUGGAACGCUGCAGAAUGUUCAGGUCGCUGCUUCCCCAAAAGGAAAAAAAGAAAAAGGAAAGGGACAACCCAAGGAGAGCUGAGGCAAGUCAAAGAAGAGGCGACCUUCGGAGAAGGAGACAGACUUCUCUCCAGGACGCUUGGGCCACGGUUAGAGGGCAGAGUGGGGCCCAGUUCUGAAAUUCCUGGUGUGCUUUCCCUCGGCCCAACAGACAGGCCUGGCUGCUUAUAGUCCACGACAUAGAAGUAACUUAAUUACUAUUUUAAAAAUUGUGCAGAAAGAGUUCCAGGUAGCAAAAUGCAAGACCAAGCAAACUCAGUGUGAGCUCACAUUGACAAGGCUUUCUCCAGGGAUGGCGGGAAGUUCGAAAGGGAAGAAGGAGCUGGUGACAAAGGCUUCUGUGCUCAUGGGGACACUGCCCGAGGUUCCCCGGACACCCUCGGCCCCUGCCAACCAGCA